AUAGUUGGAGAUAGCCUAAAUGUAGCGGAUGUUCAAUCAUUCACCUAUAAACCAUGAUGACAACCAAUUAGUAGCUAAAAAAUCAUAACCCUUGAAUCAUCCUAUGAUCCAAUGUAACGCGGGGGCUUCCUAAGAAACACCAAUUGGUUGCGCCCCCGUCUGGUUGCCGUGGAUUAUGAGAAUUUGCACAACACACGUAAUCCGAGAAGAUGCAGCCAAAGCUUAAUAAUAGUGAAUAGUCUCUAGCAGCUGCAGCGCAUUAUCCAAUAUACAAAACCAGUGAUGUUUGGUUUAGCACGUGGAUUCAGUCUACUGCAUUCUCAUCGUAGCCGCGGACCAAACGCCACCUUGCUCUACUUAGCCAUGCACUAUUUCUAUCGUCCGGUCGAGUUUGGAUCGCGGGUCAUCUAGCAUAGCUCAUAUUUAAUCUGUGCCUAGUGUCGGAUCGAGUCGGUUUGGUCCAUACUUUUUUGUUGUGUCGGUGUUUAGUCUCGACCAAGCACUACAGGAUUACCCACGUAGUGUUUUUGGAGGACAGCGACGUUGAUCGCAACUCGAUGGUACGUGCAGGUGCACGUCGGAACACAAGAGAAUUAUACAGAUGACCUACCCAAAGCGAAGCAAAUGACAGGCUAUUGACGACGGGCGGAGUCACGGACACUGGACUACAGUCUGGCACUACCUGCGCCCGUGGUUUGUGUUGUGCUCUGCUCCUGCUCCUGCUCGUGGGGCGGUGGAGUGGAGGUGCAGAAGCAGCUGUGCUGGCGGCGGUGAUUCGCAAAUCGCAGCGCCAGGCUACCGUACAGCGGCCACCGACGGGUGACGAGGCUCUGGCCGCUGGUAUUGGACGACACGGCGGCAUGGGCCCCCUCACUGACGCCACCGAAACAGCUAGCCGCGCCAACGGACCACACGACAGCCUCGCGCCGUCUUGUCACAUGUCCUACUAUAUCUUUGUAUCGUGCGUCCAACCCAAAAAAAAACAAGGUAUAGUGCUAUGCAUUUACACUUAAUAUAGUUUGCAAACAUCGCACUAAUUGUAUUUGUAUUGUGAGAGAAAUUCUAUCUAUAACCAAUAGUUCCUUUUAUUUA